UCUUAACUCUGGCGGCGUGCCUAAUACAUGCAAGUCGAGCGAACAGACGAGGAGCUUGCUCCUCUGACGUUAGCGGCGGACGGGUGAGUAACACGUGGAUAACCUACCUAUAAGACUGGGAUAACUUCGGGAAACCGGAGCUAAUACCGGAUAAUAUAUUGAACCGCAUGGUUCAAUAGUGAAAGACGGUUUUGCUGUCACUUAUAGAUGGAUCCGCGCCGCAUUAGCUAGUUGGUAAGGUAACGGCUUACCAAGGCGACGAUGCGUAGCCGACCUGAGAGGGUGAUCGGCCACACUGGAACUGAGACACGGUCCAGACUCCUACGGGAGGCAGCAGUAGGGAAUCUUCCGCAAUGGGCGAAAGCCUGACGGAGCAACGCCGCGUGAGUGAUGAAGGUCUUCGGAUCGUAAAACUCUGUUAUUAGGGAAGAACAAAUGUGUAAGUAACUAUGCACGUCUUGACGGUACCUAAUCAGAAAGCCACGGCUAACUACGUG
rnacentral:rRNA from 1 species